rnacentral:rRNA from 1 species
CACCGCGGUUAUACGAGAGGCUCAGGUUGACAGACAUCGGCGUAAAGAGUGGUUAAGGAAAUUUUUAAAUUAAAGCCGAACGCCUACAAGACUGUCAUACGUUCUUCGAAGGUAUGAAGCCCCACCACGAAAGUGGCUUUAUCCUUCCUGACCCCACGAAAGCUGAGAAA